rnacentral:rRNA from 1 species
GACGAACGCUGGCGGCGUGCUUAACACAUGCAAGUCGAACGAUGAAGCUAGAGCUUGCUCUGGUGGAUUAGUGGCGGACGGGUGAGUAACACGUGAGUAACCUGCCCCGAACUCUGGGAUAACUGCUGGAAACGGUAGCUAAUACCGGAUAUGACCAAUGAAGGCAUCUUCUGUUGGUGGAAAGAAUUUCGGUUCGGGAUGGACUCGCGGCCUAUCAGCUUGUUGGUGAGGUAACGGCUCACCAAGGCGACGACGGGUAGCCGGCCUGGGAGGGGGGUCGGCCAAACUGGGACUGAGACACGGCCCAGACUCCUACGGGAGGCAGGAGUGGGGAAUAUUGCGCAAUGGGCGGAAGCCUGACGCAGCGACGCCGCGUGAGGGAUGAAGGUCUGCGGAUCGUAAACCUCUUUCAGUAGGGACGAAGCGAAAGUGACGGUACCUAAAGAAGAAGCACCGGCUAACUACGUGCCAGCCGCCGCCGUAA